rnacentral:rRNA from 1 species
UGGGGAAUCUUGCACAAUGGGCGAAAGCCUGAUGCAGCAACGCCGCGUGCGGGAAGACAGCCCUAGGGUUGUAAACCGCUUUCAGCAGGGAAGAAACUGACGGUACCUGCAGAAGAAGAUGCGGCCAACUACGUGCCAGCAGCCGCGGUGACACGUAGGCAUCAAGCGUUAUCCGGAUUUAUUGGGCGUAAAGAGCUCGUAGGCGGUUCGGUAAGUCGGGUGUGAAAACUCUGGGCUCAACCCAGAGAGGCCACUCGAUACUGCUGUGACUAGAGUGCGGUAGGGGAGCGGGGAAUUCCUGGUGUAGCGGUGAAAUGCGCAGAUAUCAGGAGGAACACCAGUGGCGAAGGCGCCGCUCUGGGCCGUAACUGACGCUGAGGAGCGAAAGCAUGGGUAGCAAACAGGAUUAGAUACCCUGGUAGUCCAUGCCGUAAACGUUGGGCACUAGGUGUGGGUCUCAACCAACGAGAUCCGCGCCGUCGCUAACGCAUUAAGUGCCCGCCUGGGAGUAC